rnacentral:rRNA from 1 species
GACGAACGCUGGCGGCGUGCUUAACACAUGCAAGUCGAACGGUGAAAGCGGAGCUUGCUCCGCUGGAUCAGUGGCGAACGGGUGAGUAACACGUGGGCAACCUGCCCCUCACUUCGGGAUAACUCCGGGAAACCGGGGCUAAUACCGGAUAUGACCUCCUUGGGCAUCCUUGGAGGUGGAAAGUUUUUCGGUGAGGGAUGGGCCCGCGGCCUAUCAGCUUGUUGGUGAGGUAGUGGCUCACCAAGGCGACGACGGGUAGCCGGCCUGGGAGGGCGACCGGCCACACUGGGACUGGGACACGGCCCAGACUCCUACGGGAGGCAGCAGUGGGGAAUUUUGGACAAUGGGCGAAAGCCUGAUCCAGCCAUGCCGCGUGAGUGAAGAGGGCCUUCGGGUUGUAAAGCUCUUUCAGACGGAAAGAAAUCGGGUAGGUAAAUAAUCUACCCGGAUGACGGUACCGUAAGAAGAAGCACCGGCUAACUAC